GCCGCCCCUCGGUGCGGAGCGCCGCGUUUAGCGCCAACGGCCCUCGGCUGCCGCCGGGCGAUGGCGUCGCCGCGCGGCCCGCCGCGGGGCGGGGGGGGAGAGGGGGAAGCCCGCCCGCCUGUCCCGCGGCGCGCAGGUGGUGGCUGAGGUAAGCGCUGAUCGCGGCUCUCGUCAGCCGCCGGCGAGUGCCCCCCUAAUCAGGUUUCCAUCAGUCCCCGCAGGGGCGUAUAAAAGGAGGCGGCGGGCGGCGGCGCUGGCAGAGCGCUGCCCGGCCCGCUCCGCCCGCCCGCCCGGCCCCAUGCAGCCCGCCAUGAUGAUGUUCGCCAGUAAGUACUGGGCGCGCAGGGGCUUCUCGCUGGACUCGGCGCCGCCGGAGGAGCACCGCGGCCUCGCCCUAAACAGAUCAAGUUCUGGGAAAAAUGAGGAAAAGAAAGGGAAUAAGGGAAGUGGGAAAAGUGAAUCUGUUUCUGAAGGUGGGAAGACAGCUGUGGUGUUUUCUUUGAAGAAUGAAGUUGGUGGAUUGGUGAAAGCUCUCCGACUCUUCCAGGAGAAACAUGUGAGUAUGGUUCAUAUUGAAUCAAGAAAAUCCAAGCGAAGGAAUUCGGAGGUAGAAAUUUUUGUGGACUGUGACUGCAGUAAGAAAGAAUUUAAUGAACUAAUCCAACUGCUCAAGUUUCAAACUAACAUUGUAUCUCUUAAUCCACCGGAAAACAUCUGGACUGAUGAGGAAGAUCUCGACUGUGUCCCUUGGUUCCCCCGGAAGAUAUCUGAAUUAGACAAAUGCUCACAGAGAGUUUUGAUGUAUGGAUCUGAGCUGGAUGCAGAUCACCCUGGAUUCAAAGACAACGUCUAUCGACAGAGAAGAAAAUACUUUGUGGAUGUCGCCAUGAGCUAUAAAUAUGGUCAACCCAUUCCCAGAGUGGAGUACACAGCUGAAGAAAUUAAAACAUGGGGGGUGGUAUUUAGGGAACUCAGUAAACUUUAUCCCACCCAUGCUUGUCGUGAAUAUUUAAAAAACUUUCCUCUGCUGACCAAGUACUGUGGAUAUAGAGAGGAUAAUGUGCCUCAACUGGAAGAUGUUUCUAUUUUUCUGAAAGAAAGGUCUGGCUUCACAGUGAGACCAGUUGCUGGAUACCUGUCUCCCCGAGAUUUUUUAGCUGGACUAGCAUAUAGAGUUUUUCACUGUACUCAGUAUAUACGACAUGGCUCAGAUCCUCUCUACACACCAGAACCGGAUACAUGCCAUGAACUCUUGGGACACGUACCUCUACUUGCUGAUCCCAAAUUUGCCCAGUUUUCACAAGAGAUAGGACUUGCUUCACUGGGAGCAUCUGAUGAAGAUGUUCAGAAGUUAGCCACUUGCUAUUUUUUUACUAUUGAAUUUGGCCUUUGCAAGCAAGAAGGACAACUACGUGCUUACGGGGCAGGACUUCUGUCUUCUAUUGGAGAACUAAAGCAUGCUCUCUCCGACAAGGCCAACGUGAAAACAUUUGAUCCAAAGACAACCUGUUUGCAAGAAUGCCUUAUCACCACUUUUCAGGAAGCUUACUUUGUUUCAGAAAGUUUUGAAGAAGCCAAAGAGAAGAUGAGUGCUGUAGCCUUUUCACACCUCACCACUUAAGGCCCCCAUUAGAUUCACUAACUAGAGUCCCUGCUUCUUUGGAGAAGAGGUGAUUAAAAAGACAGAGAAAUGCUGAAGGGGCAAUGGCGGAUACGUGAGAGCUCCUGCUUCUCUGUCUCUAGGUGAGACGCCGGAGGAAAAGGCAUCAGUUGAAGUCAAGGAGAGGUCGACACUCCAGUUUCAUUUAAUAGCCUGUCUGCAUGUGACCAGAAAAGCUCUGGAAAAUAGGUCUACUUUUAAGACUGAGGAAAAAGAACAGUCAAUUCUUUAACAGUCUGGCCAGCGCUGAGGCAAUGCCUGUAUAUUUCAUGGUUACAAGUGGGCUUCUGAUGAAGAAUUCAGCUAAACCUUUCUACAGAGCACAGACAAAAUGUGCUUUUCAGUGUUGAAGAAAUACAGGCUUCCUUGUUUACACUUGGAGUAUUCUUUAAUGAAGACAAUCCUUGAGGACCCUACCCUGGUGCGCUCCUCGCCUUCGCAUAAGUGCCUCUGUGACCACCCCUUAAAGAGCAGCGCCAGGGAAGGAGGAAGGUACCAAGAGGCUGCCCAAAAUCGGAGCCCUUUUUUUGGCUUGAGUUCUACCCAGUCUAAAUCAGAAGAGGAAAGAAAUUCCUGGGCGGUAUUUUUUCCCCCUCUGGCUGGUGUAAAUCAGCAUAGAUCCAGGUUCAACAUUGGAGUAGUUCUGCUUUACCCGCCUGGAGAUGCUGACAGGGAAUGCUCUGCUGUUGUGGGGAAGUGCUGCGUUUCAACGGGAAGCCGCUUUGAAAGCCAUUGAGGCUGCCCUCAACAUCUCCCUCUUGUGCCCUUCUCCAUGAGCUUAUCUGGAAACUCAAGUUUCUGUGAAGGAACAAAAAGCUCAACAAGAAGUUUUGACCACUCUGGUUUGAGAAGGCAAGAAUUUACUUUUCCAGAUAAAGAACAGUAAAGGGGCCUUGCGUUGUCCUGUGGAGGACAAUGAACUACUGGCCGCCAAAUGAUGGGAGAGCAAUGUUUGAUGCUGAGAAGGCCUUGCUGGAAAUGCCCGCUGAGAGAAAAUGCUCGGCAAAGCAGCAAUGAUAAAUUGAAGAUGAGACAUGUUUUGGUGAGCCAGGGGACUAGGCCAGCAUUCAAAAGCAGAAUGUGGAGGAUCUUGUGUUGGUGGGCAUCCGAAACCCCCUGAGUCCUGCUCUCCUGGAGUCCCUGCAGGGGUGGAAGUUGUGCAACGUGGACGAGUUACAGGAGGGAGUUGGGGGCAUGCGUGCGUCAGGCACCUCUGCUCCCCACACAACGGCAUGCAGACCUUUUCUCCGGGCCGUAGCCUUGCGAGUUCUUAGUCUUUGUACUGAGAGUGAACACUCAAGCACCGCUGUGGGCACCGCUGGAGGUUACACUUUCCACCACCCCGGGGUCACCCUCCUGCCCUCUCUGGUGGGCAGGUCUGAGGAGAGCUGAGCCUGGACCCUGCUCUUACCUGGUGAGGCAGAGGGGGUCUGGAUGGUUGAUGCAAUGUCCUUCCUGGUAUAACUGUUUUCUCUUUUUACCUGGAGCAGUGGCCGUAUGGUUCAUGCAUGCAAAUGACUGCUCCCAGCCUUAGCCAGACAAUUCUUUUAUAUUCAGGUGUGCUGUGAGUGCUUCAGUCCAGCAGUUUCUGAUGUACUGGAGUGAGUUUAUACCGCUGUGACCACCCCCUCCCUGCUUCAAUGUAGCAAGGCCAUGCAAAGGAGAAAUCUAGUUCUUAUUUAGGAUACAGAGAUUUAAGUAUUCCUGCCUAAUUCCACACUGAACAGCUGUUCUGCAGCUCCUCAUAUUAAACUUCUGAGAGAGCCAGCCCAAAGCAGUUACUCAAGAAGCACUCCGCUCCUGAAGUUCUCACUAAAAUUUAAGUAAUCCAGACAAUCCUUCAACUCCUAAUUCAGCUCAUUAAGUGUGUGUCCUGAAGUGCCAAGGACAGCAUAGGGUGCCUUGUAUGUAAUAUUGUCUUUCAUAUGCCGAUUUUAAUGGCUCUCUGAAAAAAAGCUUCAAUUACAGUUUCCCUUUUUGGAAAAGGCUUUCUUCUAGGCUGCCUGAACUCUCCCAACCCCAGUUUCCGGGCCAGUGUCUGCCAGACUGAUUUCUGCUCCAGGAGGUCCAGUCCACUUGCAAGAGUCCCCGACUCCUGCUAGUGCUGGAGGGAGCUGUGAGGAGCAGCUACCAUGAGCAUGAGAAAGCAUCUGGAGGCUUCAGAAAGGCAACACCUGAUAAACACAGAGAGGUGAUCGUAACACAUAACAGGGUUUUCCAGUGCCAGAAUUGCUUGCUUUUCUGAAAGUAAGAAUUUUAGCCUGUUGAAAUGAGGAUAUAUAAUGGGAGAAAUUUAGUUUUGAUGGAAUAUUCUUUAAAAGUUUUAUUAUUAUUACUUUUUGCACUGAAGUGUCUCAUUGUGUCUCAUGAGAAUCACCAUUAGUCAUUUUGACUUGCAUUCUAUUCAAUUCAAAGAUUAACAGAGGGUUUUAAUGAAGUUCAGAUAAACUCAGUAACAAUACUGGCAUACAAGACAAUUAUUUUGUGCACAAAUCAAGAACAAAAACAAACAAAAGCCUACCUGAAGAUUUCACAAAGAUAAUGCCAAAGAAAAUUAAAAAAAAAAAAGAUAAGAGAAUGAGCACAGAUAUUACUACCUUGAAUUUUGUGAAAUGUGUUUUAUGACAUUUGGCCAUAAUCACAAUUAGCAAUACUCUUAGAGCUGUUUGCUUGGUUGUGUGUGCAAAUCUGAAUGUGUGAGUUUGAGAGUAACAGUGGCUGUAUAAAUUAAUUUUCUUGUGAAGAUCUGAUUGCUUCACAUAUUAUAGCCUGUCUACAUCCUACAUUCUCAUCAAGUGUUGCUGAUUAGUUUUUAGAAUGUAAUUGAAGAAUGAAAAUAGAAGAGCAAAAUGUCUGAUUUAUAGACUGAAUUGGUUAUGCCCAGUGAUUUCUGUGGUGCUGGUUUAAAUAUUCUGUUAUUAAAUUGAUUAAAUAAUUAAAUGCUGCUAUAAACAUGUCAGAUGGUAUUUCACAUCAAUUUCCUACCACUCAGUGGAACUCUCAUUUACUUACCAAUGUAGUAAGUAGAGGUAUCUGUCUAUUACUGAAGUAAAGUUGGUGCUAGUCUUAAACGUGACUGUUAAAAAAUACAGGAGAGAAGGAAGGGAUGAAAAUGCCCUCUAAAAUCAUAUGUUGUUAAAAAGCAUAGUUAACAUAGGCAGAUCACGUUGUUUGGAUAUUCCUUAUUCAUGUUAAAUAAAAAAGUACAGUGUGCUAGAUCUUUGCUGUGUUGAAAAGCACUGAGAAAAUAAUUUGUUUCAAAGGGAAAAGACGAUUUCUGUGAUUACUUGUUGUCUUUAAAUAUAGUCUUGUGGCAAUAUGAUCCCCAGACCACAUGCUGAACUCCUUAUGUAUUUAUUUAAUUGUAGAACUAAAUCUAUAUUUGGGGAAGCAUGAGGAGUUAAGACUGUAAGAAAUCCCAAGAUCAAAACUAAACCGCUUGCUGCAAAUCGUAAUGUUAGUGAAACAGAUGAAUUAAAAGUGAUGUUUUGGAGGAAAAUAUAAAAGCUGAUAAAAUCCAUGUGGAGCAGCAGGGAAUUAUUAUAACGAACUGUUAUAAGUAGUCAGCUGUAGCCAGAGAAAAGGAUAGCAGCUGCUGUGGGUCGAUCUCCAUGUAGAAGUGAGGCACGGCGGGUGGUGUACCUUUGGAUCGUCGUAGCUGAACUCCCUUUCUUCAUAUCUCUUUGCACCUGAACUCCUGCUGCCUAUUUUCUCUCUUUGGGUCCAAAUCUGUAUUUUUUGUUUAUCCCAAACUUACCUGGAGUCUAUUCAAGUUGUGCUAAUGGCUGUAGUCUGUUUCAUAACCUCCUGGGGAGACGUUGUCAUUGCCUGGGUUUGCAAAUUUUUGAAGGAAGAGAAAAAUCUGUAUGUGCCUUUUUGAUAGUGUUCCAACUUUGAUGUGUUACCUGACUGCUAUUCCCCACCUACUUGCAUGGAAGAUGGGGGGUAGCAGACUACAUUUCAUGCAAAGAUUGGGUAAAGUGAAAAGUGUAAGCAGCCUGUGAAACCCAAGUUGUUCCUCUUGCAGUGGCCUAAUCAUUGGGCUCCACUGUCAUACGCCAGGUUGCACCUUAUUUCUGCCUCAAAGGACCUUAAAAACUCCAGAGUGUCUCCGUUUGCUCUUCAGAAAUCUUUGGAGAUUUUUCUGGGUUGUGGACAAUAUCCCAAACAGAUCUUGUUUAACAAAUAUAUCAAAGGUAAGAUGUUUUGUAUCUGUUGCUGCUUCAUGCCCAGAGCCCUCCAAUAAAAUCAGAGCAUUUUGGAGUGUGGAACAAAAUGCAAUAAUAUUAUAAAAUUUCAUCAGUAUGAAUGUCCACUCUUCACCCCCCCCCCUCCCCACUGAUAUCACCUCCCACAUUUUCAGUUUUUGAAACCUCCAGUGCAAAAUCUGACCAGGAGAAGCCUUCCUAAUCCUGAAAGCACAGGGGAGCCAGGAGUCAGUAGUGAGCUGGGUCAGGAAGAUGCGGGCAUGGCUGUGUGGAUAAGCCUAGACGGUUGUGCUUUUACAGCCUUUGGUGGGCAUGGGUGAGCACACUGUACUCUCUAUAAGCACCUUGUGAACAGCCUGAUACAGCCUGGCUGGGCAUUUGUGAGCAUAUGAAAUCCCACAUGCCCUGGCGAGAGGUUUCACUGUACCUGGGGCUGCAUUUGCCAUGCACAAGGGGGCUGGUCCUGAAGGCUGCCUCAGCGCUGGUUGGACAUCCUGCAGGGUUACGGCACGGACAAACGCACACCUUAUCAGCCACUGCAUUCCUGCCGUUGUGGAAGAUCAACCUCAGAUGAGUAUCCACAGGCUAAGGAGACCAGCAGCCGCACGCCUGACACUGUUUGCUGGAAGGUCUGGCAGGAGAUCUGUGAGCGCUGUCUCCAGCAUGCUCUUCCAGACCUACAAGCUGAUGUAUGCAAGUCUCAGCACCUCCCCACGGAGGAAUCGUUCGUUUGCAUUCUCUGUGCGGUGCCCAAAUAUAAAUACGGGUAUAAAAAUGUUUAAAGUAGAUUGAGGAAAUUAUGUUCAUUGAUGCAGUGUUGUCAAGAGUGCAGCUGGCUUGUCAAAGAGGAUGUCUCCUUCACUGAUACUGCUGAACAAGGUGGUCCAGAUUAGUGACACAGGACACCUCUCAGGAGGAGCGGAUACAUUUGUGUGGAAGGAGAUACCAUGUUUGAUAAAUUUUUCUAAGAUGAGUUCUGAGUUUCUGCUGUUGUGCCCUGCUACAAUUUCUGUGAUUUUGUUUUUGUGUGUUAUCUUUAAAUUUUAAGAGCAUUCUGGAUGCACUGUUUUUUGCCUCUAAGAAUUUAUUUCUUUUUCUCUUUUUCUUAAUGUAUUCCAUUAAUUUAAAAGAAAAUCUAGGCAGAGGCUGAAGGUACGCUUUGUAUUUGGCAAACAGCAAUUUCCAAGCAUGGAUUUGUCUUACAACAAAUUUGAAAUGUCUCAUUUUUAAACAUUCAAAUGGAAUCUACAUUGCAGGAAUCUCAAUCUGCAUCAAUGCUCUGCCACAGUGUCUGCUUGCCAUGUACUCAUGCUUUUUCUCAUUCAUUGAAUGUUUUCAGGACUUAACUGUUUAGUGAUUUAGAACUUGGAUUCGAAGGCAGUCAUUCCUUCUAUUGCAGCAGCAGUCAGAUGCUUAGACACCUACCUACUCACUGUCAUUUUGCAAGUGCAAAAGCAGAGGCCUUUUGGCAACUGGUCAUUAAUCAGGAGCCGUCCGACUCAGAUAUAAAGACUGGAAACCGCUUAAUGCGUUUCACGUUCCCUUUUUAGACUGGUUCUGAGUUGAGUAAGCACACACACUCACUAUUCUCUGAAUACCUAUCAGACAGAGUACAUUAAAGGUUUUUUUUUUUUUUUUUUUUUUUUUUUUUUUUUUUUAACUUACCAGCAAAGAAAUUCAUCAAGAACUUAUGGUUCAAUGUGUCAUAGGAAACUUGGGAAUUUGACUCACUGGGUCUGAAAGCAUAUAUUCCAGCUGAAAAGAUGAUAAAGGAGAUAAAAUUGUCAUUGUGAUUUUGAGGCCAAGAUUCCUCUAGAUUUAUUUAAGAGAACAAGUUAAAUAAUACUGCAAACAAAAGCAGAAAGCUUAUAAAAGGAUCAGGAUAAGUACAGAAAAAUAGAAUUAUUUUUCAGCAGUAAAGAAACUAGAGAAGGCCAAUAGAUCUUGACGACAAGUCAGCAGUGAUCACUAUAAAAGAUAUACUUGGAAUGGACAUCUCCACAAUUCAAGUGACUGGCUUUAUUCCAGUCUUUAUUUCUAAGUCUUAAAAAUGAUAAGUGUCUAAAUAACUCCAAAAGGUUUGUGGGGUUUUUUUUGGUAGAAAUCACUGUAACCAAGAACAAAUAUGACUGGAAUUUGGAAGGCAACAUUUGUCAUUACUAAACUUGUUUGCUUAUUUUUACAAUUCUUCAAAAAGUAUCAAGCAUGGAAGGUUUCAGCUUGUAACAAAUCUGCAGUGUUGUUAGAAAAUGUGAGAGUAGCUCCUUUGAGAUGCUCUCUUUCUGUCUUGUAAAUACACUCUGGCAAUUUUGUGUAGCGUACAGAGAGCCAGACACAAGUGUCUGAACAUCUCAGAUCAUUCAGCAUUAUUUGAUCUCAGUAUUGUACUUGAGAGUACAUUUUAUUAAAUGCAAUACUGAGAAACAAGGACAGCUUCUAAACCUCAUGUCAGUGAACCAAAUACUAAAAGUACAAUUAUAAAACUAUAAUAAAUAUUUCUGCAUUUAGUCCAUAUUGUAAACUGUGCACAUACACGGGAUAAUGAAAGACUUAAUACUGAGACGUUUUCUGCUUUGCAGAUUACUUUAGGCUACCACAACCCACCUGCGCUGUAAGCAAGAUUAUUUUCUUUUGCUAAAAGUGAACAUUUUAAGAUUUAUGUGUGCAUGAAGAAGCAGGCAGUUACCUGUAUCUGACAAGUAAGAUGUACACUCUAUAAUGUCUCCAGAGUCAAUAUAUUUGUGUGGUCUAUAACUGUCACUGCUUAGGAAGUGGAACUUCCUCCCCUCCCCAGACAAAAACCAAGGCUCUUUUGUACUGUUUACUAGACAUGUCCUGAUUCUUGUUCUGUCAGAAUAAACUGAAAUAUAAACUCUGUUUCUCUGCAGAAAAUAAAAGCUCUACAACCUUUUUUUGUGAAUGGAAAUAAAGCAGGUUGAGAGAUAAGUCUAGGGGCUAUAAUUACAGAAAUGUAUAAAAUGAAACUGUCAAAUAAUUCCUUUGAAGACACUUUUUAGUAUGUAUUUCAGAAAAGGAGCAAUUCGUAUGAUGCCAAGCAUCAUUAAUUGAAAUUUCUGUGCCUUUACUUUGAUAAACUCACUUCAAUUACUUGACCCUUUAAACUCUCCAAUUAAGUGGUCUGCACUUAUUAAGGGAAUGGCAUGAAGCACAUUACCUAUGUGAAAUUCUGCCUGUAUGUUAUGUUCAUUGAUGGAAAGAGAAGAGGUGUCGAUUCACUUAUGGAGUGACCGUCUUUCUGUGAAGAAGUGGGUGAAGAAGGACGGCUGGUAAAGGUGAUUUGGACAUUGAUUUCUGUAGGGCUUGAUCAUGCCAUUUUCUGAAUAAUCUGACCCUAUUCAGCCAAGGGCUUGAGCAUAUGAAUGAGUCCCAUAUGGCAGGUCAAGGACUGUAAGGUCUUGGGCCACCUGCCAUUGCUGUGGCACAGCAACCAUCCACAUGGACUGGAGGUCGCUGCCUCCAGUGCACAGUGAUGUACCUGUCGGUGACAGUUUUCCAUUUCAGGAAUAUUGUUCUCAUAAUUGGAUGCACAAACAGAAACUGAGCAGAUGUACUAAGGUUCUUCCUUAUUUUUCUUAGUAUUAUUUCAGCUAUUACGAUAAUGCUGUGAUAAACUAUAAAAAUGUCAUACAUGGAGACUGUUUGUUUGCAUUUUUUCCAGCUUUCUAAGAAGACAGUAGUACCCAGUGGCUGACAAAUGCAUUAACUUGGCACAAGCCCAUCUAAUCAUUAAUGACAUCAAGAAUGUGCUACAGAUCACUCACUCAGGCAGUCACAGGCUAGAGCCGCAAAAGGACUUGUGUAGAAAUAGAUGCCUAAAUCUAGUGAUGAUCUGGGACCUCCCUUACCUUCUCUCCCAAAAUGUCUGCUCAACCGCCCCUUUGCUCACCGGGCAUUUCCCUGUUGGUGCCUGCAAUCCUGCUUCUCUCCAGACCUAGCACAGUGCUAGUGUGAGCUGUGAGAGCCCGUCUCACAACCAGCCCAGCUGGGGAGUCAGAAAUCUCCCAAGCGGCAGCAUCACUCUCCUUUUAGGUGUCAGCUUGGUGUCCAGGGCAUGCCAUGCCUGCAGAAACUGCGGCUGAGCUGCUGGCACGCUGAGCCCGUGCCUAUCAGAUUCAUUUCUUUCUGCUAUCCUGUCUGCAUCCAGCUUUCUGUCAUCCUAUACAGUGCUCUCUGUUGCUUUUCUGCGCUUGUGGUUACCAGUGCAGUGAGGUCUUGGAGCACGAUCACUACGAAAAAGCAAAGAGAAAUGGUAGCGAGGCUCUGGACUAAGGGAUCUACCCAGACAGCGGGGUGUUAGGGUGUUACUUCAGCCGCAGAUUGAAGCUGCCUCCAUGGACAGAUUUAGGGAGUCAAUUCACACUGGGUGGUAGGUCUUUUGAUGAGACCCCAUAAUGAAAUAGUUGGAGGACCUGAUUUCUUUUACAAGCAGAUAAUGCAGGUACAAUUUCACAUUAGGUAUUAAUCCUAUAAUUUUAUGUUACCUUUUAUAUGUGACAAGAGGUAAAACUGUUUCUGAGCAUCAUUUUUAAUGCCAUUUCUUUGAAAACCACAAAUAUUGUUGCAAAUCUGUGCACAGUUCUGAAACAGACUGAGUACUGUCCACACUAACAGAUGUCAGAGGGAGGAAAGAAUAAGUGUUUUAGGCUACCCUGAUUCCACAAGUGCUCUCAAGUUACCUAACUUUAUAAACCACAUGAAAUCCCAAGGCUGCUUUAAGCUAGGAUGUCCAAAUACCCUGCGGCUGAUAGGCUUAGGUUUAGACAAUUCCCAAAGGAAUCUGAACUAAUUUCUGUUCCCUAUAGUGACUACUGAUGUGAAAUAGUUGUAUCUUUAUCUUACACUGAAAAAAAAGCAGUCUCAGCUUCAGGCAAACAAAACCAUGCCUCAGAUUUGUCCUCUGCGUGUUAGACAGGAAGAUGCCUUUAAUAGCAACGGGAUCUCCCUAAAGUAGGGAGAUGCUUUGAGGACCACCACUGGUUAAUGGAGGCUUCUGGGGAAGAGAAGAAAUGGCCAACGGGACCCUGCAGAAUAAACUGACAACACUUAUCAACAUCCUCUCCAAAUUAAGUGGGUAAAGAUUUCUUCAGCUAGAUUUUCACAUUUAAACCAAUUCUGUUUGAAUAUCUAUUAAUGUAUGAUCAGAUACUUUGUCCCCGUAAUUCCCCUUCCUUUCUGGUCCCUCAGAAAAUGCAGUGCAUCAUUUGAACUCUCGUGUGCCACAUUAGGAUCUCUGUGAUUUAAGUACAAAAUGUAAGCAGUAGGAUAUGUAUUACUUAUCAGUAGUGGGCAUGACUACUCAGGGACUUAGAUGUUUAAAAGCUGGGCACCGCAUGGCUACUUUUUGAGUAUCCAGCUCCCAGAUGCUGACGUGAAAUGCUUACCUCGCCCAUUCAGUACCGCAGCUCUCCCUUUUUGGCUGAGGGUGGCUCAGCUCCCCUAUUCCUUUGCCCACAUCCCUGCAGACUCGCUGGUCAGGACUCCUGCAGCAGUAUUGGCCUGAGUCUCUUCAGGGCAAGGAGACCCUAAGACUGUCGGGAUUUGGGGAGGCAGGUGACUUUAUAUGUUUAUCCUGGAAGUGAAUGGCAGAGGAAGCACCAUUUGUGAGUUAGUAAGUGGGCUCUGGAGGGUGCCAUCAGUACUUUGCUCCUUAUCCAUCCAGAAAUAAUUUCAGCGAGAUUUCUGUGGUCACACAUCUCUGGGACAAAGCUCUAUUCACCUUCUGUUUUAUACCUCUGCAUUCACAUUUCCUUCUUCUUUUUUUAAACAAAUAGAAAACAGUAUUUAAAUGAUAUCUUUCUGUCUGUAUUUAUCCACUGUACCUUUUAUAUCAUUUGAGGCUGUUUGUAGCAUACCUGCUCUUAGCAGUUUUGGGAGCUGAAGCAUGGAAGAAAAGAAAAUUACAUGUUUAUCUUUAUUUGAUUUCUUAAUUUUGAAAAGCAUGGAUAAGUUAAUUAAUCAACAAAGUGGUUUUAGAUUUAUCCCAUUAGCAGUUAGGGCUGGGAAUGCUGAGCAUCUGACUAUUUUUGACAUGUCCAGAACCUGAGAAGACUGUUUUUUAUUACAAAUUGGGUUUUUUUUUGUCGCUUCAGGAUAAGGUAUUUUUACAUUUUUUUCAAACUUUUUUUCUGAGAAAUGAAACUGCUAAUAUUAGCUAACACAUGUAUCUUGGCUUCCAAUAGCUUGUACUUCAUGAUUUUGUAGGGAGAGUAAUGGGAUGGUCUUACACUAUGGUUACAUAGAUCUGCAUAUUUUCUCUUUAGUUGGUGAAGUUGAGGUUCAGGGUUCUUCCCAUGGUUCUGGUAAGGGACAGCUAAAAAGUUCAGAUUCUGAUCAGCUAAUAAUAAUUAGUAGCAAUAUCACAGAAUGCUAAUAAUUAAUAAUUAAUAAUUAAUAUAUGUUUGGUGAUAAUUCUUUAAAAAUGCAAUCAAGAAACAAUGAUCCCAUUGUGCCAAAAUUUCUGUACCUGAAAUUUACAGUCUAAAUAUCCGAGGUAUCCAUACUUAAUUCAUGUUCUCUGUGUUUCUAUAUGUUCUCUAUGUUUGGAUGAGGUAUUUAGCUGUAGAUGGACCACUAAGUGAAAGCAUGUAUGAAAUUCUGUGAGGUUCUUCCACAACCAAACUCUUGCUCUGGCACAAAUCAUCAUGUUAGUGAAGCAAUAUUUCAUCUUUCUCAGAUAUGCUGGGCUCAUGUUUUGUAACUUUCACAAUCAAAAAAUGAUGAAUUUUUCAGUUUAUUUCCAAGAUCUAUCUAAAUAUGCUUUAUGAUAUGCCUGUAAGAGUUAAAACAACAAUACAUGUCUUAUGGGAUAGAAGGGCAUCAUUGACUUAAUAUUGCCCCAGUCACAAAAGGAUUAUAUUAUGUAGUGUAUUUCCUUGCUGAUGCAUAUAGGAUUACAGGAUAAUUCAGGCUGGAAGGUACCUCAGGAGGUGUCUAGCCCAAAGCAAGGUCAGCUGUGAGGUCUGACCAGGUCGCUCAGGGAUACAGAUCCACAAUGAGGUCUUCAAAACUUCCGAGGAUAGAGACUUCACAACUACUCUGGGCAACCUGCUCGGCUGUCCUCAUGGGGAAAAGGUUUUUAUAACUACUCUGAACCUCUCUUGUCUCAGCUUAUGCCCAUUGUCUCAUCCUCCUGCCAUGCACCACUGCAAAGAGACUGGCUCCAUCUCCCUGAUGACCUCCUUGUAGGUACUGGCGGGCUGCUGUCAGGUCCCCCCCGGAAGUUGUCCCUUCUACAGGCUGAACAAGCCCAGCUCCCUCAGCUUCUCCUCACAGGGCAAGUGCUCCAGCACUGACCAUUGUGGUGGCCCUCCGCUGAACUUAUUUCGGUUUAUGGAUGCCUUUCCUGUGCUGGGGGGCCCCAAAGCAGAAGCAGUAUUCUAGAUAUGGUCUAACAGGUGCUGGACAAAGGGAAUGAUCUUUUCCCUCAGUCUACUUGCCCUGCUCCUGUUCAUGCAGCCCAAGAUGCUGUUGGCCUUCACCAUGGCCAGGGCACGCUGCCGGCUCACUGCCCACUAGGAUCCCCAGGGCCUUUUCCACAGAGCUGGUCCCCAGCCGUCCAUCCUUGGCUCUUGUUUCUGCUGGUUUCUCUUGAAUUGUUUAAGGUCAGAAAUUUAAAUACAUCAUUAGGGGUCCAAAAUAGACCCAAAUAGGUCGUACACACAAACAAAGUUACAUAGGCAUAAUUCCAUUGUUUACCUUCUCCCUAAAUUAAGACUUUUGGAAGUUAUUUAGGAUUAAGGAAGGAUAUAAAUUUCAAGUGAAAUAGCUAUUCUGGGCAAUUUUUCAGGUAAACAACCUCUUAUUUGAUUUUUUUCCCCCUGUGAUUAUUCAGUAGUAAGAAAAUUAAAGACCAUACUCCCUAACAAAAAACUGUUAUUAGGUAUUUGGCCCAAAUGACUUGAUUGUAUCAUUUUAAUGAAUACAGAAAAAAUUAAUCAGCACAAAAAUUCAUUAAUUAUAACAUGACAGAAAGCUGCUGAAAUAGACAACAGUGGUUCUUUAAGAUACUGAUAGUUACUCAGACAGAAUAUUUCAAAGGCAUCUCACAAAUUUGUCGAAUGUGUGGGCAUCAGAUUCACCAGGCAUUCAUAAAAUCCUAUUACAGCUGACAGCAGGAAAGGGGCCAGCACUUUUCCUUUUAUGAACAUAUUUCAGUAGGGAGUCACUCUGUUAAAGCUAACUUAUUCUACAAUAAUCUACAUACGCAGAAGAUAGAUAGAGGAAUUUACUGAAAAAAGAGGAUCCUGCUUUUAGAAGCACAUCUCUCUUCACAAGUAAAACUUGAUCAAAAAUGAAUACUUUGUGAAAGAAGUUAUCAUGCAUAUAAGAGAGCCAAAAAGAUCCUAAAAAUGUAUGGAAUUUAAAGCCAUAUCAGGGCUACUAGCAGUCCUCAUAAAUGAGGAUAAAGGUAUAUGUCUGUAUAGAUCUGCAGAAAUCAGGAAGCUGCACUUUUUUCUUGAAUGCUGUUCCCUUCUUAGUCCAUUUCUUGCAAUAAAUGCACAGCAAUCAACUUCUGAACUAGAAUCCCCAAACCAGAUAAUAUUAAGGGGCUGAAAUCUGAAAUUCCUUUCCCAGAUACUUAAAGGAGAGAAAUUCUGAAGGAGAAAACUGAGACAGAGUGUCAGAAAAAACAUCCUAUAGCGUGGUUUAAAGUGCAUGUUGCUUUCUUGCAGUAAAUGUGAAAGCCACAAUAUUUUUUUUCUCUGAAAUCUUGAUUGAAUAAAACAUAGUAGCAGAGCUGUUUCAUGUCCAGAAAGUCUUGACACGUGGUUUAGAAAUUAAGAGAUACUAGUUUUAAUAGAAAAAAAAAAAGGAUCAUUUUAUUCACCUUCAGGUUUCUUUUUUUUUUUUUUUUUUGCGUAUUUCUGGUACUAAUCUUUUCUCUAGUCUGGAGACUGACUAUUUUUUUCCCACAUGGCAGCCGAGAGUGUUUCAGUGUGUUAUGGUUCAUGCUGGCACGGAAAACAUCAGAUUGGAGAGAGACCUGUGCUAAGACUGGGAGCGCCUGGAACACCGAAACUGCAGCGGGCAACGCCAUAUCCGUGUACUGACUGGAAGAGCUACUGGCCCUGCUGAGAUGCAUUAAGCAUGUAGCAAGAAGAAAGAAGAGAUGUGCACUGAUGGUACAAGGACUCGUUCAGUGCACAUUUGACAAGACUGGAUUCAGUGAGAGAGGCUGUCUUCACAGAUGAAUUAACCAUGCAUGCCUGUCCAGUGCAGCAAACCUUUCUUCUAAUCCCCACAUGACUGCGGUGUUAAAUACAGAAUAUCUGAUGAUAUAAGACAAGAGUCUGCCUUCAGAGUCUAGGUUUUGAGUCUACCAAACUCAUUCCCAUUUUUUAAACUACCAUAAACUUGAAUGAGGUGAUGGGAAUACAGAGGAAAGGAAGCCGUGACCUGACACUACCCUGCACGGCUGGAUUUUUGGGGUGGGAACUGCAUGCUCUGGCUCUUAAGACAUAUUGGAGUGGCUGCAUUCCCUUAGAGCUCCCAGAACCAAUACUCUGCGCAUACACAGAUUGCUUGGU